GACGAACGCUGGCGGCGUGCUUAACACAUGCAAGUCGAACGGAAAGGCCCUGCUUUUGUGGGGUGCUCGAGUGGCGAACGGGUGAGUAACACGUGAGUAACCUGCCCUUGACUGUGGGAUAACUUCAGGAAACUGGGGCUAAUACCGGAUAGGAGCUCCUGCUGCAUGGUGGGGGUUGGAAAGUGUCGGCGGUUGGGGAUGGACUCGCGGCUUAUCAGGUUGUUGGUGGGGUAGUGGCUUACCAAGGCUUUGACGGGUAGCCGGCCUGGGAGGGUGACCGGCCACAUUGGGACUGGGAUACGGCCCAGACUCCUACGGGAGGCAGCAGUGGAGAAUAUUGCACAAUGGGCUGAAGCCUGAUGCAGCCACGCCGCGUGCGGGAUGACGGCCUUCGGGUUGUAAUCCGCUUUCGCCUGUGACGAAGCGUGAGUGACGGUAAUGGGUAAAGAGGCCCCGGCUAACUACGUG
rnacentral:rRNA from 1 species